GAUGUACUUGCUUUAGCUUCUUUCUCCAUCUGAAUUUUCUUCUCUGCCAGCACUAACUCCGCUCUCAUUCUUUCUUCCCACAUUUCUUUCUCUUGUUGUUGGAUCUGCCUACGUAGUUGCUCUUCUUUCUCCAUCUUUCUGACCGCCACUUCUUCCUCAGCUCUCAAGUUUUCAUGUCUCUGUCUAUCGUCUAGUACCCUACACAACCUCGCACGUUUCUCACAUAGUGGUGCAUACUCUGCCUUCAAAUCUCUUGUCCACUGUCUAAUAGAUCUUUGUGUUGAAUUUCCCAGCUCAAUUUUUAAUUCUUGUAAAUGCGACACCAAGUCGUUCAUAUUAUCCUGAAUCUGCUGUGUUCGCUUGCAUACUUGUUUGAUUUCAUUAAAAUCCUCACUUUCCAAUAAUUCGUCGACGUCCUCGAGAUAAAACUGCAGCUUUACAAUCUCUUUUCUAAUCUUUUUCUCCUGGUCUUUCUCCUCUUGAGUGAUUUCUACCGUAUUAUUCUCCUCAAUUUCUUGUUGUUCAAGUUCGUCCGCCAUCUUGGAUUUCGUAAUACCCUCAAUUUCUCGUCUUUAUCCGCAAAUAUUUCGUUGUUCAAUCCUGG